rnacentral:rRNA from 1 species
GGCCGGGAGCCGCAGGAUGGGGCUGCGUCCUAUCAGGUAGUUGGUGGGGUAACGGCCCACCAAGCCUGUGACGGGUAGGGGCCCUGAGAGGGGGAGCCCCCAGAUGGACUCUGAGACAAGAGUCCAGGCCCUACGGGGCGCAGCAGGCGCGAAAACUCCGCAAUGGGCGAAAGCCCGACGGGGUUACCCCGAGUGCCACCCUCGUGGUGGCUUUUGCCCGCUCUAAAAAGGCGGGCGAAUAAGGGGAGGGCAAGUCGGGUGUCAGCCGCCGCGGUAAUACCCGCUCCCCGAGUGGUGGAGGCUAUUACUGGGCCUAAAGCGCCCGUAGCCGGCCCGGUGUGUCCCUCGUUAAAUCCACGGGCUUAACCCGUGGGCUGCGGGGGAUACUACCGGGCUUGGGGGUGGGAGAGGCGCCCGGUAUUCCCGGGGUGGGGGUAAAAUCCUCUGAUCCCGGGAGGACCAUCAGUGGCGAAGGCGGGGCGCCAGAACACGCCCGACGGUGAGGGGCGAAAGCUGGGGGAGCAAACGGGAUUA